rnacentral:lncRNA from 1 species
CAAGACAGCUCAUGAGUCGUUUCUCUUCCUUUUAUCCUGAGUAUAUGGUUCUCCUGGGAUCUGGCAUUCCUUGAAGUUCAAUGGUUAUAGAAACAAGAUGACCCCAACCAUUUCUACCAGGUAUUCCUCAUCAGACUUACCUGUUCAGAGUUCUUUAGGGCAACCCAUCAGCAACUAGACACGCCAAGGCAGGGAGGAGCUCCCUGAAUCCGGUUACAGGCCAGUCUUCCUUCCCUUUCCGACCCAUCAGCAACUAGGUGAGUGACUCCCUGCUCUUACCAACUCCUGUCCAAAGAGCCAUUCACCCAGAUCUCCCCAGGCUUGUGCCUGCUUGAAAUAGACACGCCCAGGCAGGGAGGAGCUCCCUGAAUCUGGGUACAGGCCACUUUUCCUUCCCUUCCCACCGACCGAUCAGACCAAUCCGCAAGGAGGUGAGUGAUCCACAGCUCUUACCCAACUCCCUUUCAAAGCCCCAUCCACCCCGAUCUCCCCGGGCCUGCUCCUGCUUGGGGUAGACCAGCCCAGGCAGUGAGGAACCCCUAGAUCCUGGAAAAACCCCACUCUUAAUUCCCGUCCCGCCCCCACACACCCGAUCCCUAUGGAGGCCUAACUCCUUCAGAGUGAGGAGACUACCAGGAGAGGCAAGAUCAUCCAGAGCUUCGGACAUUGAAUUCCUGGCCCACACACACUACUGCAUAACAAGAGGAGAUAGAGAGACCCCACCUGCACUCACUGGAAAAAGAUAUGGGAAGAAGACAGAAUAAGAACUCAAUCAACAACAGAAAGACCAAUAUGACACCACCAGAAUCUAGGGACUCCACUCCAGCAAGAUCUGAAAAGCCCAACACAGUGCACAAAGAAGAGAUGGGCCUCAAAAAUUAUCUCAGCAAGAUGAUAGAGACCUUCAAAGAGGAAACAAGAAAAUCCCUUAAAGAAAUAGAAGAAAAAGCAAGCAAAAACUUACACGAAAUGGAGGAAAAGACAAACUAAAAAAUUCAAGACAUAAACAAAUCUCUUAAAGAACCUAAAGAAACCCAAGAUAACACAACUAAACAAGUGAAGGAAGCUCUUGAAACAGUUCAAAGCAUGAAAGCUGAAAUAGACACAAUAAAGAAAACACAGAAUGAGGCGAUGCUGGAAAUGGAAAGACUGGAUAAACGAUCAGGAACUAAAGACGUGAGUAUAACUAAUAGAAUCCAAGAGACAGAAGAGAGAAUCUCAGCUAU